rnacentral:rRNA from 1 species
AAGGUUGCCGGCGGGCUUACACAUGCAGUCGAGGGGUAGGGUUCUUCGGAACCUGAGACCGGCGCACGGGUGCGUAACGCGUAUGCAAUCUACCUUUUACAGAGGGAUAGCCCAGAGAAAUUUGGAUUAAUACCUCAUAGUAUAUAGACUCGGCAUCGAGAUUAUAUUAAAGUCACAACGGUAAAAGAUGAGCAUGCGUCCCAUUAGCUAGUUGGUAAGGUAACGGCUUACCAAGGCUACGAUGGGUAGGGGUCCUGAGAGGGAGAUCCCCCACACUGGUACUGAGACACGGACCAGACUCCUACGGGAGGCAGCAGUGAGGAAUAUUGGACAAUGGGCGCAAGCCUGAUCCAGCCAUGCCGCGUGCAGGAUGACGGUCCUAUGGAUUGUAAACUGCUUUUAUACGAGAAGAAACACUGCUUCGUGAAGCAGCUUGACGGUAUCGUAAGAAUAAGGAUCGGCUAACUCCGUGCCAGCAGCCGCGGUAAUACGGAGGAUCCAAGCGUUAUCCGGAAUCAUUGGGUUUAAAGGGUCCGUAGGCGGUUUAAUAAGUCAGUGGUGAAAGCCCAUCGCUCAACGGUGGAACGGCCAUUGAUACUGUUAAACUUGAAUUAUUAGGAAGUAACUAGAAUAUGUAGUGUAGCGGUGAAAUGCUUAGAGAUUACAUGGAAUACCAAUUGCGAAGGCAGGUUACUACUAAUGGAUUGACGCUGAUGGACGAAAGCGUGGGUAGCGAACAGGAUUAGAUACCCUGGUAGUCCACGCCGUAAACGAUGGAUACUAGCUGUUGGAAGCAAUUUCAGUGGCUAAGCGAAAGUGAUAAGUAUCCCACCUGGGGAGUACGUUCGCAAGAAUGAAACUCAAAGGAAUUGACGGGGGCCCGCACAAGCGGUGGAGCAUGUGGUUUAAUUCGAUGAUACGCGAGGAACCUUACCAAGGCUUAAAUGUAGAUUGACCGUUUUGGAAACAGAACUUUCGCA